rnacentral:lncRNA from 1 species
AGAGCUACGGUGACACUUCGCGUGCGGUGUAGGCGCAUCUUCGCUCUGUUGGCCGUGGCUUUAGUAAGCACACACCUGCCUGCUACUCUGGUUAUCGUGGCGACGGCAGGUCUGGAUUGCCAGACAGGUUUUUCUUUUUACCUCGAGGCUUUCUCUGAAGGGAGUCGGAGCAUUUAAAAGGCGGCCUCAAGGUGGAUUGAGUCGGGGGAGGAUUAGCAGUAUUUGCUUAGGUUGUAAAACCGCGACUUUAUCUAAUAAAUCGCCAUUCAAGGUGCAAAUACAAACUUGGAACAGAGAUUGCAUUUGGGUUUAAACAGAGGACUUAAUCAUAGCAUGGACAGAAAAGGCUCACCAUCUAUCUAAAUGACUCUGAUUGCACCAUCAUCCUCAUUGUUCUUGUGGAGUCUCGCUCUGUCGCCCAGGCUGGGGUGGAGUGACGCGAUCUCGGCUCACCGCAAGCUCCGCCUCCCGGGUUCACGCCAUUCUCCUGUCUCAGCCUCCCCAGUAGCUGGGACUACAGGCGUCCACCACCACGCCCGGCUAAUUUUUUGUACUUUUAGUAGAGACGGGUUUCAC